UGGGGAAUUUUGGACAAUGGGCGCAAGCCUGAUCCAGCCAUGCCGCGUGAGUGACGAAGGUCUUCGGAUUGUAAAGCUCUUUUUAGCAGGGAAGAUAAUGACGGUACCUGCAGAAUAAGCCCCGGCUAACUUCGUGCCAGCAGCCGCGGUAAUACGAAGGGGGCUAGCGUUGUUCGGAAUUACUGGGCGUAAAGCGCACGUAGGCGGAUUGUAGUAGUAGGAGUAGACGUCGGGCUCAACCUCGGAACUGCCUUUCAUACUGGCGAUCUCGAGGCCGGAAGAGGUGAGUGGAAUUCCCAGUGUAGAGGUGAAAUUCGUAGAUAUUGGGAAGAACACCAGUGGCGAAGGCGGCUCACUGGUCCGGUACUGACGCUGAGGUGCGAAAGCGUGGGGAGCAAACAGGAUUAGAUACCCCCGUAGUCCCUGAGCGGGCUGGCAAGGCGCAU
rnacentral:rRNA from 1 species